rnacentral:rRNA from 1 species
GACGAACGCUGGCGGCGUGCUUAACACAUGCAAGUCGAACGGAAAGGCCCUGCUUUUGUGGGGUGCUCGAGUGGCGAACGGGUGAGUAACACGUGAGUAACCUGCCCUUGACUUUGGGAUAACUUCAGGAAACUGGGGCUAAUACCGGAUAGGAGCUCCUGCUGCAUGGUGGGGGUUGGAAAGUUUCGGCGGUUGGGGAUGGACUCGCGGCUUAUCAGCUUGUUGGUGGGGUAGUGGCUUACCAAGGCUUUGACGGGUAGCCGGCCUGAGAGGGUGACCGGCCACAUGGGGACUGAGAUACGGCCCAGACUCCUACGGGGGGCAGCGGUGGGGAAUAUUGCACAAUGGGCGGAAGCCUGAUGCAGCAACGCCGCGUGCGGGAUGACGGCCUUCGGGUUGUAAACCGCUUUCGCCUGUGACGAAGCGUGAGUGACGGUAAUGGGUAAAGAAGCACCGGCUAACUACGUG